rnacentral:tRNA from 1 species
GCCUCUGUGGCUCGGUUGGUUAGAGCGCUGCACCGGAAUCGCAGGGCCGUGGGUUCAAUUCCUACCAGAGGAC